rnacentral:lncRNA from 1 species
GAACAAAACCUCAGUGGAUUGGGUUUAAAAUAGCUUUUAACAAGCCGUGAAGGUUGUCCUAGUUCUAUUCCUAUUGCUGUGAUGAAAUACCCUGAAAACAAACGAGUUAGAGGAUAAAAUGGUUGUUUCAGCUGUGGGCAGUGUCACAGUGGUAUGAGCUGGAGACUGCUAGUCAGGCCACACCCACAGUCAAGAGCCUAGAGGAAUUGCAUGCAUACUUAAGCACUUAGCUGGCUUUCUUCACUCUCAUACAGUUCAGGGUCCCACAACAGGGAAUGGCUCUGCCUGUUUUUAAGCUGAGUCUUUCCACUUCAACUAAGGUCAUGAAGACCAAGCCCCACAGACAUGCUCACCAGGCAACCUGAUCCAGAUGACCCAUUACUGAGACUCUUACCUGUUGAAUCUAGACUGUAUUGAGUCGACAGAUAAAACUAUCCAUCCCAGAGCCAAAAACUAACAUGCAGUCAUAGAGCUGAAAACUGACAUUUGGGAAAGCAUGAUUCAGAAGCAGUGCUGAGAGAGAACAGAUGGUAAAAAUACAGAUACUUCUUUUAGAGGAGUUCUAAAGAUGAGGACCAAAUUCAACUCGCUCACUGCUGUGUCAGCAGCCCAGAGAGAGAGCCGAGGACAUGCUUAGUAAGGACCAGCAGCUUCCUUGUGCGUGCAUCACAGCAUAGAAACGGCCGUGUAAAUGAUACCCUUUCCUUCAUUCAGUAGAUUGUGCUUCUAGGAGUAGUUUUAGACUCACAGCAAAAUGGAGAGCAUAAUCCCAGGUGCCUUGCUUAGCCAAUGGCUCCAGUGCCCGAGGUUGAUGCCACUAACAAGAGGACAGUCUGCAGAAGCUCAUCAGGACACAGCAAUUGAAGCUGGCCACCCUGGGAAGAAGCACAUCACUGUGGCUGGAUGUUUCUGGUACAGUGCUCAGCAGUGAAAUGAUUAACAGCGUUGGCAUUUAAGUGAUCAUAAUUAGGUUUCAAAGUUAACAGCCCAUUGAGAUAAAUGGUGGAAGUUCACACCUCCCUCAGCGCUAUUGUUUAUCAGACUGUCAAGUUGCAGCUUCAGGAAGACAACAUUAAUGUGGCUUUGAACACUAAUUGCCUAAAGCCAAGUUAUAUCCACCUGGGAAGGUCCUUUGGGUAUUUGUUCAACUGAAAUGUCAUGAAUAUACAAUUCUAGGAUUCUCCAUCACCUCCAAGAGACAACCUUGCACAUAUAUUUCUCUAUCAUCUCUCCGAGACAACCUUGCACAUAAAUUUCUCCAUCACCUCCCAGAGACAAGCUUGCACAUUUAUUUAAAUGCAUAGGAAGAGAAUGAUACAGGAACGGGCAGUGGUGUUUGGUAGAUCUUCUGGUUGAAUCAGUGGGCUUACCUCAGUUUCUCUUUUUAAAUGGUAACUACUCACUUGCAUGAUAUGGUCCUGAGAGGAAUGAACAAUUAAAUGAUUUAAACAACAACAACAAACCCUUUGCUCACUAGAUUCCAAUACUAUGUUAUUGUCCUAAAGGAGUUAUG